CCUACGGGAGGCAGCAGUGGGGAAUAUUGGACAAUGGGCGAAAGCCUGAUCCAGCCAUGCCGCGUGUGUGAAGAAGGUCUUCGGAUUGUAAAGCACUUUAAGUUGGGAGGAAGGGCAGUAAGUUAAUACCUUGCUGUUUUGACGUUACCGACAGAAUAAGCCCCG
rnacentral:rRNA from 1 species